rnacentral:rRNA from 1 species
GAUGAACGCUGGCGGCGUGCCUAAUACAUGCAAGUCGAGCGAACGGACGAGAAGCUUGCUUCUCUGAUGUUAGCGGCGGACGGGUGAGUAACACGUGGAUAACCUACCUAUAAGACUGGGAUAAAUUCGGGAAACCGGAGCUAAUACCGGAUGAUAUUUUGAACCGCAUGGUUCAAAAGUGAAAGACGGUCUUGCUGUCACUGAUAGAUGGAUCCGCGCUGCAUUAGCUAGUUGGUAAGGUAACGGCUUACCAAGGCAACGAUGCAUAGCCGACCUGAGAGGGUGAUCGGCCACACUGGAACUGAGACACGGUCCAGACUCCUACGGGAGGCAGCAGUAGGGAAUCUUCCGCAAUGGGCGAAAGCCUGACGGAGCAACGCCGCGUGAGUGAUGAAGGUCUUCGGAUCGUAAAACUCUGUUAUUAGGGAAGAACAUAUGUGUAAGUAACUGUGCACAUCUUGACGGUACCUAAUCAGAAAGCCACGGCUAACUACGUG